rnacentral:rRNA from 1 species
GACGAACGCUGGCGGCGUGCCUAAUACAUGCAAGUAGAACGCUGAAGGAGGAGCUUGCUUCUCUGGAUGAGUUGCGAACGGGUGAGUAACGCGUAGGUAACCUGCCUGGUAGCGGGGGAUAACUAUUGGAAACGAUAGCUAAUACCGCAUAAUAGUAGAUGUUGCAUGACAUUUGCUUAAAAGGUGCAAUUGCAUCACUACCAGAUGGACCUGCGUUGUAUUAGCUAGUUGGUGAGGUAACGGCUCACCAAGGCAACGAUACAUAGCCGGCCUGAGAGGGUGAUCGGCCAAACUGGGACUGAGAACCGGCCCAGACUCCUACGGGAGGCAGCAGUAGGGAAUCUUCGGCAAUGGACGGAAGUCUGACCGAGCAACGCCGCGUGAGUGAAGAAGGGUUUCGGAUCGGAAAGCUCUGUUGUAAGAGAAGAACGAGUGUGAGAGUGGAAAGUUCACACUGUGACGGUAGCUUAACAGAAAGGGACGGCUAACUACGUG